rnacentral:rRNA from 1 species
UACGUAGGCAGCAAGCGUUGUUCGGAGUUACUGGGCGUAAAGGGUGUGUAGGCGGUUCUUUAAGUUUGGUGUGAAAUCUCCCGGCUCAACCGGGAGGGUGCGCCGAAAACUGAAGGGCUAGAGUGCGGGAGAGGAGAGUGGAAUUCCUGGUGUAGCGGUGAAAUGCGUAGAUAUUGUUUGGAACGCCAAUGGUGAAAACAGGUAGCUGGGAGUGUGCCGACGCUGAGACACGAAAGCCAGGGGAGCGAACGGG